rnacentral:rRNA from 1 species
AGGACGAACGCUGGCGGCGUGCUUAACACAUGCAAGUCGAGCGGUAAGGCCUUUCGGGGUACACGAGCGGCGAACGGGUGAGUAACACGUGGGUGAUCUGCCCUGCACUUCGGGAUAAGCCUGGGAAACUGGGUCUAAUACCGGAUAUGACCUCCUAUCGCAUGGUGGGUGGUGGAAAGAUUUAUCGGUGCAGGAGUGGGCCCGC